rnacentral:tRNA from 1 species
GCGGGUUUAGCUCAGUUGGUAGAGCAUCUCGUUGCCAACGAGAAGGUCGUGAGUCCGAGUCUCAUAACCCGCUCCA